rfam:Pteropus alecto contig35791, whole genome shotgun sequence.
GUGUACGGCCAUGCCACCCUGAACAAGCCCGAUCCCGUCUGAUCUCGGAAGCUAAGCAGGGUCGGGCCUGGUUAGUACUUGGAUGGGAGACCACCUAGGAAAACCAGGUGCUGUAGGCG